CAAAAUAGUAAUUCUCAAUAAAAAGAAAACUCACAUCAAAAUUUAUGUGACAAACUAGAAAAAUAAAACAUAAAUAAUAAAUAAAUAAACUCAGUGAAUAUGGAGAUUGUCUUCUUUGUGCAUAACCAAGAAAAAAAAAGAAACAAAAAAUCAAAUAAAAAAAAGAAACAAAGCUCUCUGUAGACUUGGGGUUAAUCUUGUUUGAGCUUAAUAAAAAAAGAAAAGGAACCUAAAU
rnacentral:lncRNA from 1 species